rnacentral:rRNA from 1 species
GGCAGACGGGUGAGUAACGCGUGGGAAUAUACCUAUUGGUAGGGAACAACAGUUGGAAACGACUGCUAAUACCUUAUACGCCCUUCGGGGGAAAGAUUUAUCGCCAAUAGAUUAGCCCGCGUUAGAUUAGUUAGUUGGUGAGGUAAUGGCUCACCAAGGCGACGAUCUAUAGCUGGUCUGAGAGGAUGAUCAGCCACACUGGGACUGAGACACGGCCCAGACUCCUACGGGAGGCAGCAGUGGGGAAUAUUGGACAAUGGGGGCAACCCUGAUCCAGCCAUGCCGCGUGAGUGAUGAAGGCCCUAGGGUUGUAAAGCUCUUUCAACGGUGAAGAUAAUGACGGUAACCGUAGAAGAAGCCCCGGCUAACUUCGUGCUAGCAGCCGCGGUAAUACGAAGGGGGCUAGCGUUGUUCGGAAUUACUGGGCGUAAAGCGCACGUAGGCGGAUUGUUAAGUUAGGGGUGAAAUCCCGGGGCUCAACCCCGGAACUGCCUUUAAUACUGGCAAUCUAGAGUUCUAGAGAGGUGAGUGGAAUUCCGAGUGUAGAGGUGAAAUUCGUAGAUAUUCGGAGGAACACCAGUGGCGAAGGCGGCUCACUGGCUAGAUACUGACGCUGAGGUGCGAAAGUGUGGGGAGCAAACAGGAUUAGAUACCCUGGUAGUCCACACCGUAAACGAUGAGAGCUAGCUGUCGGGUUGCAUGCAAUUCGGUGGCGCAGUUAACACAUUAAGCUCUCCGCCUGGGGAGUACGGUCGCAAGAUUAAAACUCAAAG